AGGGUUCGAUUCUGGCUCAGGAUGAACGCUGGCGGCGUGCUUAACACAUGCAAGUCGAACGGGAUCCACCGGGCUUUGCUUGGUGGUGAGAGUGGCGAACGGGUGAGUAAUGCGUGACCGACCUGCCCCCAUACACCGGAAUAGCUCCUGGAAACGGGUGGUAAUGCCGGAUGCUCCAGUUGAUCGCAUGGUCUUCUGGGAAAGCUUUCGCGGUAUGGGAUGGGGUCGCGUCCUAUCAGCUUGACGGCGGGGUAACGGCCCACCGUGGCUUCGACGGGUAGCCGGCCUGAGAGGGCGACCGGCCACAUUGGGACUGAGAUACGGCCCAGACUCCUACGGGAGGCAGCAGUGGGGAAUAUUGCACAAUGGGCGCAAGCCUGAUGCAGCGACGCCGCGUGAGGGAUGGAGGCCUUCGGGUUGUAAACCUCUUUUAUCGGGGAGCAAGCGAGAGUGAGUUUACCCGUUGAAUAAGCACCGGCUAACUACGUGCCAGCAGCCGCGGUAAUACGUAGGGUGCAAGCGUUAUCCGGAAUUAUUGGGCGUAAAGGGCUCGUAGGCGGUUCGUCGCGUCCGGUGUGAAAGUCCAUCGCUUAACGGUGGAUCCGCGCCGGGUACGGGCGGGCUGGAGUGCGGUAGGGGAGACUGGAAUUCCCGGUGUAACGGUGGAAUGUGUAGAUAUCGGGAAGAACACCAAUGGCGAAGGCAGGUCUCUGGGCCGUUACUGACGCUGAGGAGCGAAAGCGUGGGGAGCGAACAGGAUUAGAUACCCUGGUAGUCCACGCCGUAAACGGUGGAUGCUGGAUGUGGGGCCCGUUCCACGGGUUCCGUGUCGGAGCUAACGCGUUAAGCAUCCCGCCUGGGGAGUACGGCCGCAAGGCUAAAACUCAAAGAAAUUGACGGGGGCCC
rnacentral:rRNA from 1 species